GGAGGGGUGGCAGAGCGGUUGAAUGCGGCGGUCUCGAAAACCGUUUUACGUCUUAUGGGCGUAACGAGGGUUCGAAUCCCUCCCCCUCCG
rnacentral:tRNA from 1 species